rnacentral:rRNA from 1 species
GACGAACGCUGGCGGCGUGCUUAACACAUGCAAGUCGAACGGAAAGGCCCUGCUUUUGUGGGGUGCUCGAGUGGCGAACGGGUGAGUAACGCGUGAGUAACCUGCCCUUGACUUUGGGAUAACUUCAGGAAACUGGGGCUAAUACCGGAUAGGAGCUCCUGCUGCAUGGUGGGGGUUGGAAAGUUUCGGCGGUUGGGGAUGGACUCGCGGCUUAUCAGCUUGUUGGUGGGGUAGUGGCUUACCAAGGCUUUGACGGGUAGCCGGCCUGAGAGGGUGACCGGCCACAUUGGGACUGAGAUACGGCCCAGACUCCUACGGGAGGCAGCAGUGGGGAAUAUUGCACAAUGGGCGGAAGCCUGAUGCAGCAACGCCGCGUGCGGGAUGACGGCCUUCGGGUUGUAAACCGCUUUCGCCUGUGACGAAGCGUGAGUGACGGUAAUGGGUAAAGAAGCACCGGCUAACUACGUGCCAGCAGCCGCGGUGAUACGUAGGGUGCGAGCGUUGUCCGGAUUUAUUGGGCGUAAAGGGCUCGUAGGUGGUUGAUCGCGUCGGAAGUGUAAUCUUGGGGCUUAACCCUGAGCGUGCUUUCGAUACGGGUUGACUUGAGGAAGGUAGGGGAGAAUGGAAUUCCUGGUGGAGCGGUGGAAUGCGCAGAUAUCAGGAGGAACACCAGUGGCGAAGGCGGUUCUCUGGGCCUUUCCUGACGCUGAGGAGCGAAAGCGUGGGGAGCGAACAGGCUUAGAUACCCUGGUAGUCCACGCUGUAAACGGUGGGUACUAGGUGUGGGGUCCAUUCCACGGGUUCCGUGCCGUAGCUAACGCUUUAAGUACCCCGCCUGGGGAGUACGGCCGCAAGGCUAAAACUCAAAGGAAUUGGCGGGGCCCCGCACAAGCGGCGGAGCAUGCGGAUUAAUUCGAUGCAACGCGUAGAACCUUACCUGGGUUUGACAUGGAUCGGGAGUGCUCAGAGAUGGGUGUGCCUCUUUUGGGGUCGGUUCACAGGUGGUGCAUGGCUGUCGUCAGCUCGUGUCGUGAGAUGUUGGGUUAAGUCCCGCAACGAGCGCAACCCUUGUUCACUGUUGCCAGCACGUUAUGGUGGGGACUCAGUGGAGACCGCCGGGGUCAACUCGGAGGAAGGUGGGGAUGACGUCAAGUCAUCAUGCCCCUUAUGUCCAGGGCUUCACGCAUGCUACAAUGGCUGGUACAGAGAGUGGCGAGCCUGUGAGGGUGAGCGAAUCUCGGAAAGCCGGUCUCAGUUCGGAUUGGGGUCUGCAACUCGACCUCAUGAAGUCGGAGUCGCUAGUAAUCGCAGAUCAGCAACGCUGCGGUGAAUACGUUCCCGGGGCU